AAUCAGUGUAUUAAGAUGAAAGUUCCUCUGCCUUCUAAGCAGACGGUCACAGGUUCGAAUCCUGUCGCGAUCACAA
rnacentral:tRNA from 1 species